rnacentral:rRNA from 1 species
AUUGAACGCUGGCGGCAGGCUUAACACAUGCAAGUCGAACGAGUGGCGGACGGGUGAGUCAUGCUUGUGAAUCUAGCUUAUGGCUGGGGAUAACUACGGGAAACUGUAGCUAAUACCGCGUACCAUCGGCUGAGCCCUAGUGGGACUAGGUAGUUGGUGAGGGAAAGGCUCACCAAGCCCACGAUCUCUAGCUGGUCUGAGAGGAUGACCAGCCACACUGGAACUGAGACACGGUCCAGACUCCUACGGGAGGCAGCAGUGGGGAAUAUUGCGCAAUGGGGGCAACCUGACGGAGCCAUGCCGCGUGAAUGAAGAAGGCCUUCGGGUUGUAAAGUUCUGUCGGUAGGGAGGCGUUACCUACAGAAGAAGCACCGGCUAACUCCGUGCCAGCAGCCGCGGUAAUAC